rnacentral:rRNA from 1 species
GACGAACGCUGGCGGCGUGCUUAACACAUGCAAGUCGAACGGAAAGGCCCUGCUUUUGUGGGGUGCUCGAGUGGCGAACGGGUGAGUAACACGUGAGUAACCUGCCCUUGACUUUGGGAUAACUUCAGGAAACUGGGGCUAAUACCGGAUAGGAGCUCCUGCUGCAUGGUGGGGGUUGGAAAGUUUCGGCGGUUGGGGAUGGGCUCGCGGCUUAUCAGCUUGUUGGUGGGGUAGUGGCUUACCAAGGCUUUGGCGGGUAGCCGGCCUGAGAGGGUGACCGGCCACAUUGGGACUGAGAUACGGCGCAGACUCCUACGGGAGGCAGCAGUGGGGAAUAUUGCACAAUGGGCGGAAGCCUGAUGCAGCAACGCCGCGUGCGGGAUGACGGCCUUCGGGUUGUAAACCGCUUUCGCCUGUGACGAAGCGUGAGUGACGGUAAUGGGUAAAGAAGCACCGGCUAACUACGUG